GGAAGCGUAUCGAAGUGGUCAUAACGAGCCUGACUCGAAAUCAGGUAGCCUUCACCGGCUCGUGGGUUCGAAUCCCACCGCUUCCGCCA
rnacentral:tRNA from 1 species